rnacentral:rRNA from 1 species
AACGUAGGUGGCGAGCGUUAUCCGGAUUUACUGGGCGUAAAGGGUGUGCAGGCGGGCUGUUAAGUGGUGUAUGAAAUCGCCGGGCUCAACCGGGCGAGGUUAUGCCAGACUGGCAGUCUAGAGAGCGAGAGAGGGACGUGGAAUUCCGGGUGUAGUGGUGAAAUGCGCAGAUAUCAGGAGGAACACCGGUGGCGAAGGCGGUUCUCUGGGCAUGAUCUGACGCUGAGGAGCGAAAGUGUGGGGAGCGAACAGG